CCGAUGGCGAAGGCAGGUCUCUGGGCCACUACUGACGCUGAGAAGCGAAAGCAUGGGGAGCGAACAGGAUUAGAUACCCUGGUAGUCCAUGCCGUAAACGUUGGGAACUAGGUGUGGGUCUCAUUCCACGAGAUCCGUGCCGCAGCUAACGCAUUAAGUUCCCCGCCUGGGGAGUACGGCCGCAAGGCUAAAACUCAAAGGAAUUGACGGGGGCCCGCACAAGCGGCGGAGCAUGCGGAUUAAUUCGAUGCAACGCGAAGAACCUUACCAAGGCUUGACAUAUGCGAGAACGCGGCAGAGAUGUCGUUCUCUUUGGACACUCGUAUACAGGUGGUGCAUGGUUGUCGUCAGCUCGUGUCGUGAGAUGUUGGGUUAAGUCCCGCAACGAGCGCAACCCUCGUUCUAUGUUGCCAGCACGUGAUGGUGGGGACUCAUAGGAGACUGCCGGGGUCAACUCGGAGGAAGGUGGGGAUGACGUCAAAUCAUCAUGCCCCUUAUGUCUUGGGCUUCACGCAUGNUACAAUGGCCGGUACAAAGGGCUGCGAAACCGCGAGGUGGAGCGAAUCCCAAAAAACCGGUCUCAGUUCGGAUUGGGGUCUGCAACUCGACCCCAUGAAGUCGGAGUCGCUAGUAAUCGCAGAUCAGCAACGNUGCGGUGAAUACGUUCCCGGNCCUUGUACACACCGCCCGUCAAGUCACGAAAGUCGGUAACACCCGAAGCCGGUGGCCCAACUCGCAAGAGAGGGAGCUGUNGAAGGUGG
rnacentral:rRNA from 1 species